UCUGAGUUCAAGGUCACCUAGGACAAAGCA
rnacentral:piRNA from 1 species